rnacentral:rRNA from 1 species
GCCAGACUCCUACGGGAGGCAGCAGUGGGGAAUAUUGCACAAUGGGCGAAAGCCUGAUGCAGCAACGCCGCGUGAAGGAAGAAGGGUUUCGGCUCGUAAACUUCUAUCGACAGGGACGAAAGAAAUGACGGUACCUGAAUAAGAAGCCCCGGCUAACUACGUGCCAGCAGCCGCGGUCAUACGUAGGAUCCGAGCAUUAUCCGGAGUGACUGGGUGUAAAGAGUUGCGUAGGUGGCAUAGUAAGUAGCUAGUGAAAUCUGGUGGCUCAACCAUUCAGACUAUUAGCUAAACUGCUAAGCUCGAGACCGUUAGGGGUAACUGGAAUUUCUAGUGUAGGAGUGAAAUCCGUAGAUAUUAGAAGGAACACCGAUAGCGUAGGCAGGUUACUGGGACGGUUCUGACACUAAGGCACGAAAGCGUAGGGAGCAAACGGGAUUAGAUACCCUGGUACC